GACGAACGCUGGCGGCGUGCCUAAUACAUGCAAGUCGAACGCCUCUUUCCUCCCGAGUGCUUGCACUCAAUUGGAAAGAGGAGUGGCGGACGGGUGAGUAACACGUGGGUAACCUACCCAUCAGAGGGGGAUAACACUUGGAAACAGGUGCUAAUACCGCAUAACAGUUUAUGCCGCAUGGCAUAAGAGUGAAAGGCGCUUUCGGGUGUCGUUGAUGAAUGGACCCGCGGUGCAUUAGCUAGUUGGUGAGGUAACGGCUCACCAAGGCCACGAUGCAUAGCCGACCUGAGAGGGUGAUCGGCCACACUGGGACUGAGACACGGCCCAGACUCCUACGGGAGGCAGCAGUAGGGAAUCUUCGGCAAUGGACGAAAGUCUGACCGAGCAACGCCGCGUGAGUGAAGAAGGUUUUCGGAUCGUAAAACUCUGUUGUUAGAGAAGAACAAGGACGUUAGUAACUGAACGUCCCCUGACGGUAUCUAACCAGAAAGCCACGGCUAACUACGUG
rnacentral:rRNA from 1 species